rnacentral:rRNA from 1 species
AUUGAACGCUGGCGGCAGGCUUAACACAUGCAAGUCGAGCGCGCCGCGGGCGGGUGAGUAAUUUCUGGGAAACUGCCUGAUGGAGGGGGAUAACUACUGGCAACGGUAUAUAAUACCGUCUCCCCUCAUGUGUGCCUAGAUGGGAUUAGCUAGUAGGUGGGGUAAUGGCUCCCCUAGGCGACGACCCCUAGCUGUUCUGAGAGGAUGACCAGCCACACUGGAACGGAGACACGGUCCAGACUCCUACGGGAGGCAGCAGUGGGGAAUAGUGCACAAUGGGCGCAAGCCUGAUGCAGCCAUGCCGCGUGUGUGAAGAAGGCCUUCGGGUUGUAAAGCACUUUCAGCGAGGAGGCGUUACUCGCAGAAGAAGCACCGGCUAACUCCGUGCCAGCAGCCGCGGUAAUAC